UCCCGGUCUGAGAGGCAUCGGGUUCGGAGCGGAAAGAAGACAGAGGCAAUUGAGACAAAUUCUGUGGCUAGUAUGGAAAUACUCUCUGCUGUCAUUCCAUUAACCUCAGGCAUCAAAUCUACCUUCAGGGGACACUGAGGGACUGUCACUUGGCAGUGUGUGCUUCUGCCAGGAAGCCACGGAGAGGGGAGCACUGCUGUGGGGGACGUCCCUCCUCAGCUGCCUCCCCCUACGCACUCUGUGCCUGGGAGGUGCUUCCACUGACUGGAAAGUGAAGUACUGAGGUGUUUUGCUUUUCUCUUAAGUUUGCACCUCUGUUUUGACCGAGCAGUGCAGAUUUUUAUUAUCCUCCAUUUUUGUACAUUGCUGAGAAUAAAUAAUGUCCUCCAGAGUUCUUUAUUCUUUAUGUGUGGGAGGACAGAUCCUGGGGUCUGCUUUUGCUUCUUUUGACUGACUUGUUGACUUCUGUGGCUUGGAGUUAGGUCCCUGAUGGAGUAUUUCUUGCUAAACUUCUUACCGAGAUGCUGAGAGGCAGACAAAUCUUUGUCAGCUGUGUGACAAGACAUCCUGAUAUUGCUGCUUUGCUGCUCACCUGUGCCAGUAUUGUUAGGUGAUGUGACCAGAAAGGCUGAUGCUGACCAGAGGCAGGCAGCUCAAGUCUGUCCUACCCACAUCACAAGAAUGAAAUGUGUACCUUGCUGUUUGCCGGCAGGUGGCAGUGGUGUAGGAGUGUUCAGCAUGACCAGCAAAAAACCCAAGGGCUUUGCUACGGCUGUUUCCAGGCUGCUGUGUACUCAGUCUCUUCCAGCUGCGAGGGGAUUAUGAGCAUAUUUCUCCUUGGUCUGCAUAAGUUGAUUCAUCUCAUCAGCACUUUCUGAUCAAUUGAUACAUUUUUGAAAGCGUGCUUUUGGCAAUUGCUUUCUAGUGUGUGAAAUGAUACCAUCUUGGGUAUUGAUGAAAAUGGAUGCUAAUGAAAUAAACAGAAGCACUUUUUACAUGGCCCUUCCCUAGUGACACAGAAGCAUUGGGCAUCUUCAAGCAUUUUUUCCUCUUAUACUUGGCCAGGUGAACAUUUUCUGAUUUGUAUGUUUGUCUUUAUAAAACUCUGUUUGCAUCACAAUGCAGGAUUUGAAAUCGACUUGUUUGGUAAUUUUUUGUUUUGGUAAUUUUUAAUUUCUAAGGAAGCAUCGCUCUGCAUUUAUCAGCAGUGGCUUUAUUGGAGGGGGAUAUAAGAGCUGUUAACCCCUUGUUUGCAAGAGUGGAUGUGGGUCUUGUUUCCACCUGCAGUCCUGACUCCAGAGCCUCCUCCCGCUCAGGUGGGGGCUGGAGGGUGCCUGCUGGCACAGUGUGCUCUGCUGGUGAGUCGUGCCCUCCAGUGCACAGAUGCAGAGGUAAGUGUGUGUUUUGGUCUCACACUGAACCCCACCCCGCUCUCUAAAUCUGCACUCUACAAGUUUACUGAUUUUUGUAUGUUAAUGAAAAACGAUUAAAAUGCAUUCAAUGCAAGCCCAGCAUGAUUUUCAUUUUGCAAGUGCGAGGCAUCCCACUACCUUUUUUUGUGCUCGAGCCUUUUCAGGAUGCAGAAUAUUGACUGUUUCUCUGCUUAUGUCCCUGACAGUGGGCGAGAUGCAAGACUGACAGAAUAGGGUGCCUCACAAAUUUGGCUGCUGCUUCUGCUCUUCUUUUUACUGAAGAUCUGGAGUCUGAUAUCAUGGUGACUCUCUUUUAUGUAACAUCUUAUUUCAUAAGUGAACCAAGUAUUUCUCAAAAGCUCCUGAAGUCAGCAGCUCAGCUUCACUACAGCUGAUCAGGAGCUGGCUUCCCAGUGGAUGGAGGAAAGAGGUAGGGUUUCUCCAGUCAUGACAAGGGUCAUAAGAACAUCCAAACAACUUCCAGAAGCUCUUGCAGUUUUGUUUUGU